UUCCCUUCCUCACGAAGCAACCUCGCGUUACCUCUCUUCCUCCCUUCCCUAGGUUGCCGCCGCCCCCGUCCCCGCCCCCGCCCCAUCAGUGCCUCGCAGCUCCUCCGUCGCCCGCCACCAGAGAAACUCCUUUCGUCGACCGCCACCAGAGAAACUCCUUCGUCGACCGCCACCAGAGAAAGCGCCCGCCUCAGAUCCACCUCUCCCCAAACCAUCCAUCAUGGUUGCAGAGGAGGGGGAGAAAGGGGAUGGCAUCAAGGUGCGGACGGAGGCCCUGCCUCGGGGCGGCGAGUUGCAGAGGAGAUUCUGUGGUCGUUUUAUGCGUGGUGGGUCUGGAGAUGCGCCACAGUGGCGCGGCGUGGGUUUGCGUGCGUGCGUUGGGCGGCAGGUGGUCAAAGAACGUGGCGGCUCAGUCGCGUAACUCGAUCCCCUCCACUACGCCGAGAAAUUACAUGUGGUCGCUCCAAUAGUGUAAGUGGCUAUCAAGAAACAUGUCAGGGAUCCAGCGCCAUAUGUUAGGAGAUGUGCAGCAUAUGUACUUUAUUGUAGGUGCUUUGUUUAGUGAAAAUUCCUCUGGAGUACUAGGAGCUUCCAUGGUUGGCAUUUAAGUCGGUUUGUCCAUAUUGUUUAUGGUUGAUAGCAAAGUAUUCCGGAGCCUCUGUGAAACACUCCCUGAAGUUGAAGAAUGGUCUAAGAUUAAUUGAGAUUUUCUUGUUGUAUGUGAUAGCAAACAUGGAUUGGUCAAGGAUUCUGCAAUGUUUGCUUGAAGUUUGCUCUCGAGAUCCAUGGUGGUAGGGAUUCAGCUCCUGUUAAUAAUAUAUAUCCAGCACCCAACAUGAAACUAUUGUUAAUGGAAGUUGUGGCACUAGGUCAAACAUUAUGUUGUUCCCGUAUUACAUUGGAGAAUAUUCAGGAUGUUUCUAUAGGGACGAUGAGAAAUUCAGCUUUCCAAAAUAGUGGAGUGAUACUUGCAGCAGCAAGUGUUCAUUGGAUAAUGGCUCUAGCUAAGGAAUUGAAGAGAAUUCUUGGCCCAAUUUUAUUUACUUUGUGUUCAUCCCCUGACGCAACAUACCCGGCACAGGAAUUAAAGACAUGAUCACUAAGUUGACUAGCCUAUUAAACACAAUAAGGGUCGCUACAAGGGCGAGCGCUCGUUGUGUCCACCUCUCCAUUUUUUACUGUGCCGGGUUUUACUGUAGCGACGAAGGGAGAAACAAAUCCAGCGACUCUUCCCCUUGCCAAUGCCCUCUUUUGUUUUCUCCUCCCACAGCUAGGAUUCUUUUGUAUAUAGUCUAUAAGGUGUUUGAUGAAAUGCAAGAAGGCAGCUGGGGACGAGAUCUGCCUGCAGAGGUUGUUGCUUUACCAUCACUGUUCUUGUGUCGUGCCUAAUGGUAAGGGAUAUUGAAAUAUGGAUACCACAAAUUAAAGUGACAUUGGUGAUUCACACCGACAAGCCAUAUGAUGGAGUAUGGGAGGCUUUAGAUGUGGUUGCAUGGAAGCGUUUGUCAAGUUGGUCAGUGACCAGUUCUGCUCGCUGUUUUCAGGUUACCAUCCUCUUGCUCUUUUUUGUCAGGAAGCAUUCUCAUCUUUUGUUCGCAUGAGUAAGAUGCAGCAUGCUGACGCUCUAUUAGUUUUAUUUAUUCUUGCCAAAAAAUAGAAAGUAAAAUGUGCGAAGAUACAACAUUGAUGACGGGCUUGCGACUCUCAACACCCUCGACCCCCACCAUUCCUCUCUCUCCAUUUUGGUCUCGUCCACUAUCCACUAGAUAGGAAGACAAACAGGUGCUUCCUCUAGGUAUAAUUUUUUGCUAAUGUCAUUGAAUUUCUCGUGAGAUCUCUCUAGACCUUCCCAAAAGUAUUUUAGUUUGGUGUUCAUAUGUAUUAACUAGCCGAAGAAGGGAUGCAAAUGGAAGAAUUUGAUAUGCAUAAACUCCCGUCAUUGAAUCAGGAACAGAAAAUUGUUAGUUUGCUCGUUUGUUUCCUUUCUUGUCUAGCCUGCUCCACAUAGGUUUUAGUUUUACAGUGAAAAGCUGCACAAUUUGUGAUGGCGAUGAAAGGACUGAAAGAUUUGCUCAAAGCAAAAGCGUCUAGCCGGGAUACAUAUGUCUGUUAUUGCCGUUGUUUUCUUGGGAGUACUUCAGAAGGUGCAGUUGGGAAGGUGAGGACACACCAUGGCAGAGGUGCGUGGUUGGCAGGACGAGUCAGUGAGGCAUGCCGGUGGACAUGUGGAUGUUUAUCAUGGCAUUGACACAUUUCACUCCACCGACACUGCAUACCAACGUGAGGCCUUAGAUACUCUGUUCCUUCUGAUAUGGACAUGAAGGUUAAAGCCAUAAUCAAACUUAUCAAUGAAGAUGUUGAUUCUUUUGGAAGGAGAGCAGAGAUGUACCAAAAUAUUUUUUUUCGAUGGGAAAGGAGCCGUCAAAUUUCAAGAAGUUCAAAGGUUGACUGUAGAGAUCAACAUGGCAAAUGAAAAAUGGGAUGCGCUCAUGCAGAGCAAGAUGCACCAAGAGAGCGCUAUUCGUGAGCUGAAGAUGGAAAUCGGGAGCCUCACUGAACAAAAUCACUCUUCCGAGCUGCUUAUACAACAACUCCGUGGUGAGAUAAAUUCAUUGAGGGAUUCGAAGGGUGAACUCUAAAUUUAAAUUUGAAGCCUGCUUGUGUACAAAUGUAUUGAUGUGUGUCUUCCCUAGAUUGCUUUGGGUUUGCGCAUGUGCUACUGUUGAUCAAUGGCUGCUGAGUUUCAACAUUGUUUUCACGUUCUUCACAAAUGCACUGAUGGUUUGUCCAAUUCAAUUGGCUCUCAAUUUUGGCGGGAGAUCGCAGAGCACAAUUAUAUGGUUUGACUGUUGUAUGUUCUUACUUUCUCUGUUUCACAAAUCGUGUUGUGAAGUGUGAUCACCUCAACUUGUGGCUCCAACCAUCUACAUAGUGGGAUCACUACAUAAUUCCCUGUGAUUCACAUCGCUUCAUCAGUUAAUUAGUUUAUGUUACAUGCAAUUGAUUCAAUGUUUACAAUCUGUGGUAUACAAGCUCACAAAUCUAUUAAUACAUUUUUUGUAUGUUCACCUGUAAAUAUAUCCAAGAUUUUCCAUGGCUGAUUGAGAUGACGUUGGAGUUCUUAGGAGCUGCAACAAUACAUGUUUUUUUCUUUGUUAAUGACAUGUAUUAUAUCAGUAGUUAUUUUGGAAGAACUUUUGGACUUUUUGACAGCUGAACUGAAACCAUCUGUCAUAGUAAUAGCUACAAGAUUUCAUUACACGCUGGGAAUACGAAAAUGAAUUGUGGUAAUUCACUUAUUCUAGCAUAAUCAGUCACGCUGCGAUUUUCUGCAUGCGUGUGACACCAAUAUACUUCUAUUUUUAGUAUUGGGUUCUUCUAAAGGAUAACUUCUUCUGCUCUCAUAGUCAUUUUUCUUAGAGUACCGGUAUGA